UGCCAUUCGGGAACUCAGCACACCGGUGCUGGUAAGGCGUGUCUGUCGAGACUCAGUGUCGUGAGAUGUUGGGUUAAGUCCCCCGGUAACCGGAGGCCUNNCAACCCUUNGUUCCGUUAGUUACCAUGCACGUUAUGUGUGGUGAACUCUAAGCGAGACUGCCGGUUGACAACACCGGAGUGAAGGUGGGGAUGACUGUCAAGUCGAUCAUGGCCCUUACGCGCCAGAGCUACACACGUGCUACAAUGGUCGGUACAAAGGGUUGCCAAGCCGCGAGGUGGAGCUAAGUCCCAUAAAACCGAUCGUAGUCCGGAUCGCAGUCUGCAACUCGACUGNGUGAAGUCGGAAUCGCUACGUAAUCGUGAAUCAAAUGUCACGGUAAUACGUUCCCGGGUCUUGUACACACC
rnacentral:rRNA from 1 species